AGAGUUUGAUCCUGGCUCAGAUUGAACGCUGGCGGCAUGCCUUACACAUGCAAGUCGAACGGCAGCACGGGGGCAACCCUGGUGGCGAGUGGCGAACGGGUGAGUAAUACAUCGGAACGUGUCCUGUAGUGGGGGAUAGCCCGGCGAAAGCCGGAUUAAUACCGCAUACGAUCUACGGAAGAAAGCGGGGGACCGAAAGGCCUCGCGCUAUAGGGGCGGCCGAUGGCAGAUUAGCUAGUUGGUGGGGUAAAGGCCUACCAAGGCGACGAUCUGUAGCUGGUCUGAGAGGACGACCAGCCACACUGGGACUGAGACACGGCCCAGACUCCUACGGGAGGCAGCAGUGGGGAAUUUUGGACAAUGGGGGCAACCCUGAUCCAGCAAUGCCGCGUGUGUGAAGAAGGCCUUCGGGUUGUAAAGCACUUUUGUCCGGAAAGAAAACUUCUGGGUUAAUACCCUGGGAGGCUGACGGUACCGGAAGAAUAAGCACCGGCUAACUACGUGCCAGCAGCCGCGGUAAUACGUAGGGUGCGAGCGUUAAUCGGAAUUACUGGGCGUAAAGCGUGCGCAGGCGGUUUGUUAAGACAGAUGUGAAAUCCCCGGGCUUAACCUGGGAACUGCAUUUGUGACUGGCAAGCUAGAGUAUGGCAGAGGGGGGUAGAAUUCCACGUAGCAGUGAAAUGCGUAGAGAUGUGGAGGAAUACCGAUGGCGAAGGCAGCCCCCUGGGCCAAUACUGACGCUCAUGCACGAAAGCGUGGGGAGCAAACAGGAUUAGAUACCCUAGUAGUCC
rnacentral:rRNA from 1 species